GUCAGGUGCUUGUGCGGAUGGAGAACGGGUUUAAGGUCUGCUGUGUGGCUCCUCGACCGUCUGAGCCUGAUGUGUUUCUGUGUGGAGGCUUCAGUCCAGAGGUCAGAGCCUGGGACUCACGCUGCUGUAAGGAGAGAUAUACCUGUCCCUGUCUCACAGCUCAUCCGCUGGACAACAGCUUCAUCGCUCAGACCAACGGAAACUACAUCGCACUGUUCUCAGACCAGCGGCCCUACCGCAUGAACAAGAGACGCAGAUAUGAGGGACACAAGGUGGAGGGGUUUGCAGUGCAUUGUGGGUUCUCUGCAGACGGCAGUGUCGUGGCCUCUGGGAGCUCCACCGGUUCUGUCCACUUCUAUGACUAUCAGAGCUCGAGGACACUGAAGACACUACAGGCUCAUGAGGAUGCGUGUGUGUGUGUGGAGAUGCAUCCCAUAAUCCCUGGCGUCGCCGCCACCGCAGACUGGACUGGUCAGAUCAAUCUGUGGACGUGA
rnacentral:lncRNA from 1 species